rnacentral:rRNA from 1 species
UACGGGGGGGGCAAGCGUUGUUCGGAAUUACUGGGCGUAAAGGGCGCGCAGGCGGCUCAUUUUGUCAGGCGUGAAAGCCCCGGGCUUAACCUGGGAACUGCGUUUGAUACGGAUGGGCUAGAGUUCGGGAGAGGAGAGUGGAAUUCCCAGUGUAGAGGUGAAAUUCGUAGAUAUUGGGAAGAACACCGGUGGCGAAGGCGGCUCUCUGGACCGAGACUGACGCUGAGGCGCGAAGGCCAGGGGAGCAAACGGG